AUUGAACGCUGGCGGCAGGCCUAACACAUGCAAGUCGAGCGAGCGGCGGACGGGUGAGUAAUGUCUGGGAAACUGCCUGAUGGAGGGGGAUAACUACUGGAAACGGUAGCUAAUACCGCAUACCAUCAGAUGUGCCCAGAUGGGAUUAGAUAGUAGGUGGGGUAAUGGCUCACCUAGGCGACGAUCCCUAGCUGGUCUGAGAGGAUGACCAGCCAAACGGGAACUGAGACACGGUCCAGACUCCUACGGGGGGCAGCGGUGGGGAAUAUUGCACAAUGGGCGCAACCCUGAUGCAGCCAUGCCGGGUGUGUGAAGAGGGCCUUCGGGUUGAAAAGCACUUUCAGCGGGGAGGCGUUACCCGCAGAAGAAGCACCGGCUAACUCCGUGCCAGCAGCCGCGGUAAUU
rnacentral:rRNA from 1 species